GUUGUUUACCAGCUGCUCCUGCUAUGAGCGUCACGGUCCGGGCUGCCUACCUGAAUUCCGGAACCAGGUUGGGCUUCAGGCCGUAGAAGGCAGCCGAUAAGGAAGGCACCGAGUCAGCGAGCUUCUCGCUUUGGAUGACGGAGACGCGCUCCGCCCUCUUCCGUUGAGUGAGAGCCACGCCCCCCAGAAGCCGCGCGGCGAGGGAGCUGUCCAGGUGCUGAAAACAUGAUCCUUCAGUAGGCAGAGAUUUGUUCUCACGUUGGCGUUCCAGAGUCGUUUGUUUACUCUUGAUCAGUGAGGAGAGAAAAAAAACAAGAUUAAUUACAUCCACUUUAAUUGUAAAAUGUGUGAAAUAUAUUUUGAAAACAAAAUUCACUGAGAAUAAUGUGGGGAUGUUGCCACCUAUUUGUGCAUGAAGACAAACACCUGAUGUAAUCCAUCAUUUAUUUAUGUUUACUCGACAUAUUUAUUCAUUACUUAGAGCCUACGGGAGCCAUUAUUAUUAUCGGGGGCCAAUAUUACUAAUAUCAUUCAGCUAUACUCAAUCCCCCACCAAAUUACCUCUGUUAAAUACGGCUCUACGCAACACUGCUCUGCCAAAAAGUACAAGAAAGUUGUGGCCACAGUUUAUUGCUUGUCAGAUGAAAUGUGGCAAUGGCUCAACAUCUGAGAAAACCCCACAGCCAAUAUACUUGUUAUGGAAACAUCUGUAUUUAUCUACAAUAUUAUGUUUUCAUGGUCGUGGGCAGAACAGCAAGUGGAAUUUAAGAAUGAAAGACAAUGUGCUUUAUUAGACUGUUUGAGUGUAAUUAGAUGGGCAGUGAACAAAAAAAAGAACAUCAAAUCAGUUAACAUCAUUCAAAUCAUAGAAGUAAAGGGGACAUCACCUAUUUUUCCCUUUUGAUCAUUGAGCCAGAGCCCAAAAUGAUUAGUGUGAGUUAAAACUCACAAUAUCAACACAAUAUAGAAGAUUACAGGUCAAACGUUUCAUUCAAUUACUCAGUAUUCAGUUUUGACUCAAAUAUUCUGCAUAAACCUGCACUCCUCUCUCUCUCUCUCUCUCUCUCUCUCUCUCUCCCUCCUGGGUUUAAGGGCAUGUCACGUUACGCCGCGUGGGCGAGAGGCAUCUCGUCCUGGGUGGAGGGCGAGGACGACAGGCAUGACGGAGGGCGACGGAGCCCAGAGUCGACCUCCGAGACGUCCUGGACGUCACGACCGGCGAGAAGAAGAAGGAGUCUUUGUGGUUUUAAACACAUCAGCUUUACUGACUGUCUUUGAGCCUCUGGGUUCAUUAGUUAGAUGCAGCAUGGAUAAAAUACUCCAUCUUUCCUGUUGAAGAGCCAACGGAAGGGAUUUCUCUGCAAAAAAUAUUUAUUUUAACCAUUAAAUUGAGCGAAAACCGAAGCAUUAAUCUGUCCAAAAUGAGAUUAACGUCCCAAUUACAUUCCAAUCAUUGUCCUUCCCUUAACCGAACUGGAUUCCCUCUGGUCUCUCUGUCCAUGUUGUUGCUAUGCGAAUGCUGCACAGAUGGAAAUGAAAGAAAUACAGAACAUCAGUCGCGGGGAUGGUGACAGUGACGAAGGUGGACAUGGCACCUCCUUUUUCAGGUUUGUUAUUGUGGAGGGUCUGAUGUCUGCAGCCAUCGCACGCUGUCGAGGUACCUGACGGAGGCCGCGUGGAUUCCUCCGGGCCCGUCGUCUCAAGACACAAACGACGUGAAAUACCUCAGUAGAUACCCGGAUUGUGAAGUUAGAGUGUCUUUAAGAAGGCAGAGCGUCUCCUUGCUGUGGUGUAGUUGCGUUUUCCCUCUGCUGAUGGUAUUGGACUUUCAGCUUUGUGGACGUUGUCAACGUACUCCACCAAAGACACGUUUGGAUGUAUCUUGUCUACGAAGAAGCAGUGAAUUUUAAUAAACCAGAUUUAUUUAUAACUAAUUGUAU